GGAACGCGCCGGGGUCAGGCGGUGUCCUGGGAGCGGCGCGAGCGCCUGCGCGAUGGCCAAAGAAAGCAGCGGCUUUGGGCGCCGAGUUUGCAGGACAGGCAGCCACAGAAAACUCUGCAGCUUCAAUGAGGAACAGUGUCUUCAACUGUUCUGUAACCCCUUCUUGGAGAGGAGUCCUCUCUCCAGCUGGUCUGGUUGCUGUACCAGUAUGCCCUUGAGAAUAGUGUCAGAAGACUCCAAUGAGCAUCUCAAAGUGGACAGCUCCUGAUCUCAUUUAAGCAGAUUAAAUCAAGAAAACACUCUGGAAACCCAAACAUAAUUACCGGUAAAAACAAGAAUAAAAGGAAAAGG